GACGAACGCUGGCGGCGUGCUUAACACAUGCAAGUCGAACGGAAAGGCCCUGCUUUUGUGGGGUGCUCGAGUGGCGAACGGGUGAGUAACACGUGAGUAACCUGCCCUUGACUUUGGGAUAACUUCAGGAAACUGGGGCUAAUACCGGAUAGGAGCUCCUGCUGCAUGGUGGGGGGUGGAAAGUUUCGGCGGUUGGGGAUGGAUUCGCGGCUGAUCAGCUUGUUGGUGGGGUAGUGGCUUACCAAGGCUUUGACGGGUAGCCGGCCUGAGAGGGUGACCGGCCACAUUGGGACUGAGAUACGGCCCAGACUCCUACGGGAGGCAGCAGUGGGGAAUAUUGCACAAUGGGCGGAAGCCUGAUGCAGCAACGCCGCGUGCGGGAUGACGGCCUUCGGGUUGUAAACCGCUUUCGCCUGUGACGAAGCGUGAGUGACGGUAAUGGGUAAAGAAGCACCGGCUAACUACGUG
rnacentral:rRNA from 1 species